GACAGUGUGGCCCAGUGGUAGAGCACCUACCUGACAAGUACCAUACUCUGAGUUCACGCCCCAGUGUUGCCA
rnacentral:tRNA from 1 species